GGAGAGAUGGCUCAGCGGUUAAGAGCACUGACUGCUCUUCCAGAGGCCCUGAGUUCAAUUCCCAGCAACCACA
rnacentral:tRNA from 1 species